rnacentral:rRNA from 1 species
AGAGUUUGAUCAUGGCUCAGAGCGAACGCUGGCGGCAUGCUUAACACAUGCAAGUCGCACGGUUGGGGCAACUCAACAGUGGCGGACGGGUGAGUAACGCGUAGGUAUCUGUCUCUGGGUGGGGGAUAACCAUGGGAAACUAUGGCUAAUACCGCAUGAAGCCUGAGGGCCAAAGCAGCAAUGCGCCUGGAGAGGAGCCUGCGUACGAUUAGCUUGUUGGUGAGGUAAAGGCUCACCAAGGCUGUGAUCGUUAGCUGGUCUGAGAGGAUGAUCAGCCACACUGGGACUGAGACACGGCCCAGACUCCUACGGGAGGCAGCAGUGGGGAAUAUUGGACAAUGGGCGCAAGCCUGAUCCAGCAAUGCCGCGUGAGUGAAGAAGGUCUUCGGAUUGUAAAGCUCUUUCGACGGGGACGAUGAUGACGGUACCCGUAGAAGAAGCCCCGGCUAACUUCGUGCCAGCAGCCGCGGUAAUACGAAGGGGGCUAGCGUUGCUCGGAAUGACUGGGCGUAAAGGGCGCGUAGGCGGUUCGUACAGUCAGACGUGAAAUUCCCGGGCUCAACCUGGGGGCUGCGUUUGAUACGUGCGGGCUUGAGUUCGGAAGAGGGUCGUGGAAUUCCCAGUGUAGAGGUGAAAUUCGUAGAUAUUGGGAAGAACACCGGUGGCGAAGGCGGCGACCUGGUCCGAUACUGACGCUGAGGCGCGAAAGCGUGGGGAGCAAACAGGAUUAGAUACCCNNGUAGUCC